CCGUUGCCAGCUGCUGUGCGUA
rnacentral:miRNA from 1 species